CGUCAUCUCCUGUGCUUUCAAAGGACACGAAGAUUAUCGCUCAGAUCCUGUGUAUGCUCCAAACCUAACCUCUGUGUCAGUGAGUCUCUCUGGUGAAAUAGUGGAGGGUAGUUCAGUGACCUAUAGCAGUAAUGCUAUCCCAAUAGAUAAUUACACCUGGUACAAGGAGGAUGAAGACUCAGAAAAAACAUCAGGACAGAACUUCACCAUCACUGAUGUCCAACAUGAAAAAAAAUUUAUAAUAGAAUCUGUAAUGAUAUUGAAUAUCGUCAGAUUGACUCUGGUGGUCCUGAUGCCGAUUGCUCUGUUCGUGUUGGGUCUGUGGAUGAGGAAGAAGACACAUGUGGCCUUAGAAACUGGACCAAAUGAAUCUGUAAAUGUCAUCAAAGUAAACACUCAUGCUGAUUGUGAGAACGUCUCGGACUCACAGGGCGUCACUGCAGCACAGUCAGACGACACUGAAGAGCAGGAAGAGCUGCUGUGAAGUCCAGUCAUGUUAGAGACUCGUGUAUAAAAAAAACCAGACUCAAACUCGUGUUGUUUAGAUGGUGUUUAAUCAGACGUUAGAAUGAUGACAGAAAGAGAAAGCAAUACAAAACCUGAAGAAGCGCACGAGGCAGAGACCGUGGAGGAUGUUUUCAUGGACUGUGCUGUUUGGCUGGCUAAGUGAGGAUCAAAUGCAGUAUUCAUAGAUGAGGCUAAACUUAAACAGCAGCUUUAUUUCUGAAACUUCCUAAAACUUUUUCAUUUAAAUUUUUGAUUUAAUGAACUGGUUUAAUAUUGUGAACUAAUUUUGGUGUGAAGCACUGUAACUGUUUUAAAGAACUGGACGUUACUUUAAACUCAGCAGUUUCCACACUGCUUGGUGGUAAAAUUUGAACACGCGUUGAUUCCUGCUUUAUUUUAUCAUUCAGAUAAAUACUUCUGAUAUAUACUGCUGGUGUUUUCAUUCCCAAGAAUAAUUAUGUAAAGGGAUG
rnacentral:lncRNA from 1 species